rnacentral:rRNA from 1 species
CAGUCGCCGCGGUAAUACGUAGGUGGCAAGCGUUGUCCGGAAUUAUUGGGCGUAAAGCGCGCGCAGGCGGAUCAGCCAGUCUGUCUUAAAAGUUCGGGGCUUAACCCCGUGAUGGGAUGGAAACUGCUGAUCUAGAGUAUCGGAGAGGAAAGUGGAAUUCCUAGUGUAGCGGUGAAAUGCGUAGAUAUUAGGAAGAACACCAGUGGCGAAGGCGACUUUCUGGACGAAAACUGACGCUGAGGCGCGAAAGCCAGGGGAGCGAACGGGAUUAGAUACCCGUGUAGUCCCUGUCUCUUAUACA